rnacentral:rRNA from 1 species
GGGUUGUGAGGUUAAGCGACUAAGCGUACACGGUGGAUGCCCUGGCAGUCAGAGGCGAUGAAGGGCGUGCUAAUCUGCGAUAAGCGCCGGUAAGGUGAUAUGAACCGUUAUAACCGGCGAUACCCGAAUGGGGAAACCCAGUGUGAUUCGUCACACUAUCAUUAACUGAAUCCAUAGGUUAAUGAGGCGAACCGGGGGAACUGAAACAUCUAAGUACCCCGAGGAAAAGAAAUCAACCGAGAUUCCCCCAGUAGCGGCGAGCGAACGGGGAGGAGCCCAGAGCCUGAAUCAGCAUGUGUGUUAGUGGAAGCGUCUGGAAAGGCGCGCGAUACAGGGUGACAGCCCCGUACACAAAAGCGCAUGUGCUGUGAGCUCGAUGAGUAGGGCGGGACACGUGGUAUCCUGUCUGAAUAUGGGGGGACCAUCCUCCAAGGCUAAAUACUCCUGACUGACCGAUAGUGAACCAGUACCGUGAGGGAAAGGCGAAAAGAACCCCGGCGAGGGGAGUGAAAAAGAACCUGAAACCGUGUACGUACAAGCAGUGGGAGCCCCACCACCAAAGCAUUCUCUGGUGUUGAAGGCCCUGCAAAGCAGCAUCGCGGUGGCGGAGCGUCGUUUGCGACGCCCAACACAAAAAACAAGCGGUGAGUGCUUUGGGGUGGGGUGACUGCGUACCUUUUGUAUAAUGGGUCAGCGACUUAUAUUCUGUAGCAAGGUUAACCGAAUAGGGGAGCCGGAGGGAAACCGAGUCUUAACCGGGCGUUAAGUUGCAGGGUAUAGACCCGAAACCCGGUGAUCUAGCCAUGGGCAGGUUGAAGGUUGGGUAACACUAACUGGAGGACCGAACCGACUAAUGUUGAAAAAUUAGCGGAUGACCUGUGGCUGGGGGUGAAAGGCCAAUCAAACCGGGAGAUAGCUGGUUCUCCCCGAAAGCUAUUUAGGUAGCGCCUCGUGAAUUCAUCUCCGGGGGUAGAGCACUGUUUCGGCUAGGGGGCCAUCCCGGCUUACCAACCCGAUGCAAACUGCGAAUACCGGAGAAUGUUAUCACGGGAGACACACGGCGGGUGCUAACGUCCGUCGUGAAGAGGGAAACAACCCAGACCGCCAGCUAAGGUCCCAAAGUCAUGGUUAAGUGGGAAACGAUGUGGGAAGGCCCAGACAGCCAGGAUGUUGGCUUAGAAGCAGCCAUCAUUUAAAGAAAGCGUAAUAGCUCACUGGUCGAGUCGGCCUGCGCGGAAGAUGUAACGGGGCUAAACCAUGCACCGAAGCUGCGGCAGCGACGCUGAUGCGUUGUUGGGUAGGGGAGCGUUCUGUAAGCCUGUGAAGGUGGCCUGUGAGGGUUGCUGGAGGUAUCAGAAGUGCGAAUGCUGACAUAAGUAACGAUAAAGCGGGUGAAAAGCCCGCUCGCCGGAAGACCAAGGGUUCCUGUCCAACGUUAAUCGGGGCAGG